rnacentral:rRNA from 1 species
AGAGUUUGAUCAUGGCUCAGGAUUAACGCUGGCGGCGUGCAUGAAACAUGCAAGUCGAGCGCGGGAUGACGGCUUCGGUUGUCAUCUCUAGCGGCGAACGGGUGAGUAACACGUGAGCAACCUACCUUUGAGUCUGGAAUAGCCCUGGGAAACCAGGAUUAAUGCCGGAUGUGGUCACACGGAGACAUCUUUGUGUGAGUAAAGGGGCAACCCGCUCAAUGACGGGCUCGCGGCUUAUUAGCUUGUUGGUGGGGUAAUGGCCUACCAAGGCGAUGAUGGGUAGCUGGUCUGAGAGGACGAUCAGCCACACUGGGACUGAGACACGGCCCAGACUCCUACGGGAGGCAGCAGUUAGGAAUUUUCCGCAAUGGGCGCAAGCCUGACGGAGCAACGCCGCGUGAGUGAUGAAGACCCUUGGGUUGUAAAGCUCUGUCGGAGGGGAAGAAAUAAUGACGGUACCCUCCAAGAAAGCCUCGGCUAACUACGUGCCAGCAGCCGCGGUAAUUC